rnacentral:rRNA from 1 species
AUUGAACGCUGGCGGCAGGCCUAACACAUGCAAGUCGAGCGGAUGAAGGGAGCUUGCUCCUGGAUUCAGCGGCGGACGGGUGAGUAAUGCCUAGGAAUCUGCCUGGUAGUGGGGGAUAACGUCCGGAAACGGGCGCUAAUACCGCAUACGUCCUGAGGGAGAAAGUGGGGGAUCUUCGGACCUCACGCUAUCAGAUGAGCCUAGGUCGGAUUAGCUAGUUGGUGGGGUAAAGGCCUACCAAGGCGACGAUCCGUAACUGGUCUGAGAGGAUGAUCAGUCACACUGGAACUGAGACACUGUCCAGACUCCUACGGGAGGCAGCAGUGGGGAAUAUUGGACCAUGGGCGAAAGCCUGAUCCAGCCAUGCCGCGUGUGUGAAGAAGGUCUUCGGAUUGUAAAGCACUUUAAGUUGGGAGGAAGGGCAGUAAGUUAAUACCUUGCUGUUUUGACGUUACCAACAGAAUAAGCACCGGCUAACUUCGUG